CAGACGACUGAAGUGACCAAGCGGGUCGUGUAAGCGGUCAAGUAGCCUUGUUGCUACGAGUCGCUGAGCGUCAGCCCGACCUUGGCUAGAUUUGUUGGUUU
rnacentral:rRNA from 1 species